GACGAACGCUGGCGGCGUGCCUAAUACAUGCAAGUAGAACGCUGAAGGAGGAGCUUGCUUCUCUGGAUGAGUUGCGAACGGGUGAGUAACGCGUAGGUAACCUGCCUGGUAGCGGGGGAUAACUAUUGGAAACGAUAGCUAAUACCGCAUAAUAGCAGUUGUUGCAUGACAACUGUUUGAAAGGUGCAAUUGCACCACUACCAGAUGGACCUGCGUUGUAUUAGCUAGUUGGUGGGGUAACGGCUCACCAAGGCGACGAUACAUAGCCGACCUGAGAGGGUGAUCGGCCACACUGGGACUGAGACACGGCCCAGACUCCUGCGGGAGGCAGCAGUAGGGAAUCUUCGGCAAUGGACGGAAGUCUGACCGAGCAACGCCGCGUGAGUGAAGAAGGUUUUCGGAUCGUAAAGCUCUGUUGUAAGAGAAGAACGAGUGUGAGAGUGGAAAGUUCACACUGUGACGGUAUCUUACCAGAAAGGGACGGCUAACUACGU
rnacentral:rRNA from 1 species